GUAAUUUGAUACUGAAAUAAUAUUUCAAAAUAAUUAUAUGGGAAAUAGUUACAAACAAAACAUUUUCGGAAAUUAAGUAACUUUUGAAAACAGAGCCUAGAAGUUGAUAAAAAUCGACAUCUCACAAAAAGUGUUAUAAUUAUUCUCACACACGCGCUUAAUGAUCUAUUGUCUUGAAACAAUUAAGCAUAUAUUAAUUACAAAAAAAAACAUUGCGGUAAUAAAUUUGUCACCGACUCCUGAAUGCAGCGGAUUUUUACUUUGCGGUUAAACAACUAUUUUUUCCGCGACUUAAAAAAUUUCCCACGACCGUAAGCUUGCGGUUUUACAUUAUUCUUAAAUUAUACCUAUUAUUGUCAAUAAAGCAUCAUCUCGAUCCCCGCAGAUAUGAAUUCAGAUUUAUAAAUAAUUUAUU